GACAGAGGGUGCAAACGUUGUUCGGAAGUACUGGGCGUAAAGCGAGUGUAGGCGGUCUGAAAAGUCGGAUGUGAAAGCCCCGGGCUCAACCCGGGAAGUGCAUUCGAAACUGCCAGGCUAGAGUGUCGGAGAGGUUGGUGGAAUUCUCGGUGUAGAGGUGAAAUUCGUAGAUAUCGAGAGGAACACCGGUGGCGAAGGCGGCCAACUGGAUGAACACUGACGCUGAGACUCGAAAGCGUGGGUAGCAAACAGG
rnacentral:rRNA from 1 species